rnacentral:lncRNA from 1 species
AGUGGUUAACAAGUUGGUGGACUCCAGCAUCGUUGGAGCUAACAUGUGCUUUAGCGAGCUGCCACACCCAGUUAGAGGUUGCAUCGACAGGAGGUGUAACAACUCGUUUGGAUCGGUGGUUCGGGCCAUGGGAAGGGAGGCUUAGCUCGAUGGCUACGGGCUUAAGUGUUCCAAGACGAGUCAAGAAGAAAAUGGUUCGAGUAGCAUAUGCUUUGCGUCCAUCGAGCGCAUUGAUUUGGUCUAGGAACGGUAAGAAUAUGUCAUGGUAAUCCAACAUAUACAAUCUGUUCUCUUCCAACGCCUGAAAAAUAAUUAAACAAAAAUUAGUUGAUCAAAUUUCACUUUUAGUAAUUAUUCGAGUAAUUUGGAUUUGUUUAUAGUAUAAAACGUACUUGUUGAACGGACAAGCCGUCAAGAUGUCCGAUGAUGUGGUCGGAAGUGAGAGCGGAGUGUUGUGGACCGUAGAUUUCGGGGUCAAGAUUACUGACGGGUGGGAAAGUCUUGACUCUCUCAAUGUUGACUGGAUUGAUUCCAGCUAUGGCUUGACGUGCGAACUCGUCAUCUCGUAGCCAUGCGUUUUUAUCCUCUGCAUUCAUUUUAAAAAAAAAGUCAAUUAGUUAAUAACGCUGAUGUGCUAAGCAUGUUAUGAUUUUGAAUUAAUGAAAGGCAAACGCGCUUUUGUUUAUUCACAAACUAAUACUACUAUAACUAGCACGAGCGUUAUAACGAGUCAAGAAAAGCACGUGAAACAUGCAUAUGUUUGCUUAUGCACUCUUUUAUUCCUGCUUUUCAACUAAAAUGAUUAUUUCUUACUUUUUGGUAGGACGAUAACACUUCAUAAUGGUCCCAAUUAUCAAAGACCAACAAUCGCCACAAAAUCAAAGUUCAUUUUCUAUUAAAACACCCUUUUUAUUAAAAUCAAAAUUUGAUGUUAAAAUUUUUUAUGAAUUAAGUGAGCUUACUCGAUAAUAUUUUGGGAGUGUCGUAUUUGAGGAGUCCUUUCGAAGAUUCUUGGAGGGUAUUAACGAUGCCCUUAGGCAAAGGGAACUUGUUGAAUAUCUCAUCUUGAAAUCCUAACUUCAGUAGCAAGCCUUUUUUGUAGAGAUCAUCAAUCUCUCCGAAGUCAGAAAAGUCAUCAGCUAAAAUACUAGCUUUAAGCGACGGAACAAGGUGGUGUAACACCGCUUUUAACCUCCCUGCGGCGAAAGUGUCCUGCUUAGUCUCUUCAAAUUGCUCGUCUCGUGGCACGUACAUAGGUAAUGGCUUUUCCACUCGGCUCUCCGCUUCAUUAUCUGCCAACAAUGCAGAUAAAACAUCAGAUACAUUUUUUUCACAGUACCAGUCAUGGACAAUUGGACAUGACCAAAUGAAACAUUGGCUGUAGAACUUCAAAAAAAUUAGAGUCAAUUUAUAAAAAUGUAUCUCUCCAAUUUUUUAAUUUUUUUUAAAAAAAAUCGUUAAUUACUGACUUGUUUAUCGUCUCAAAAUUUCAUGAUCCGCUUGAUUUCAUAACACCCAAAACACAUAUACUAUUAGAGAUAUUGUUUUUAAGAAUGUUGUUAUGAAUUGUACCGGUAUCAGUUGGCUGGCGACCAGUGCGACACCGUCUAGGGUAAGGCCUCUCUCUGCCACCGAGUUUCGGACGAGAGAGUUCAGAUGACUUGUCGGGAUUUCCAAGAUCGUUGUAGACAUCAAAGUCAUAGAUUCUGUCUGAUAACUUCCUGACUCCAGUCCCAUCUCCUCGUAGAUUCUUCAACUCUUUCCCCCUUAGUUUUCUUAAUCCUUCAGGUGUCUCACUCGGCAAAAACGGCUGCACACAAAUUAACAUAACUUGAUUUUUAAUAAUUUAUAACCACAUAUUAUUUAUGGGAAUAUAGUUGAAAGCUGGCUAAUAAGUAUUAUUAUAUGGACCCACCAGACAUGAAUAUUGGAGAAGAUUUUGAAACUGAUUAGUAUAUGUGAUUAAUUCGUUGGAGAUCGAAAAUGACGUGACUUAAAUGGUCUGGGACCGUAAUUAAUUAUGUAUCAGUCAGAUAUUUUAAUCAGUAGGAUCCAUGUGCUCAGUUUUCGUUCUAUUUGAUUUAUAAACAAAUCAACCAUAAAUUUUAAAGAAAAAAAUACGAAAAUAGAAGAAAAUCUACUUUGAGCUUAUUACAUCUUUGGAAAAGAAUGCAUGUCUUCUAUUUCUAUAUAUUGAUUACUCGCGUGAGAGCCACUUGGUCCACACAUGGACUUAUGUACAAUUGUACUUAUAUAUGUCGUUUAUUUGUCAUCUUUCUCUACGUCACUAACAAGCUCAGCUCGAUUGAGGUUGUUGGCUUUUUGUCUGAUAAAUCUAAUUAAGUUGAUUACUCUGCAUCAUUGGAUCAGAAUCAACCAGACACAAAUAGCUUUUUGUACGUUCGAUUUUUCUACCCAACUUAAGGUUCGUAUGUAUGUCAGAUUAGGUUAAAACCAUAAGAACAAACCUUGUCUUGACUCUUUAGUGUAUAUCUCGAUCUGCCUUAAUUUCCCUGAUGAAAAGGUACAAAUAUAUAUUUUAUACGUCUGAGGAGAUAGUGUGUGACCCAAGUUAGGUCAGAACCCAAGAAGCCUUGGUUUUAGGUCCAAUUUAAAGUUGAAACAGAGCCACUUUGAAGUUUUCUUUUGAAAAAUUUAAGUUGAGCAAUCGAGAUCUCCAUGAUCCAAUUCGAAAGGGAGUCACUUUGAAGUUAUCUAUAAAAUGAGCCCAAAUCAUAAUCCAUCGUCGCAACAAUAAGCAUAUGGUAUUUUAAAUUUUCAAAUUUCAUAAAUUUUAUGGUCUUUUGGGCCAUAAUUAACCGGAGAUGAACAAAUCCAUUGUCUGAAUAUAUUUCAAAAUAUUAUGAAUAUGAAUUUAAAUCUAGCUUCGAGAACAUAUCUGCAAAAUUCAAAUGUACCAAUUUAUAUAUUUUAUUUCAUUUUCAAAAAUCAUAUAUAACAGAUUUCUACAUUUUCUCCUAUAUUUAAUCUCAUUCUAUAUCGAUACACUAUUAGGUACACCUCUGCACGUAACACCUGGCUCAGAACUCGGAACCAACAACUCGUAAGGCAAAACUCCAGCUCCACACCUGUUUCUACGGUUAGGAUCACUGUUUCUUUUCUCAAUCUCUUUUUCUAUCCGUCCAAUCUCCGCCGCAAAUCCAUAAAACGCAUCAACAAUCUCCGCAUCUCCGGUCCAAGUGGACGGUUGUUGUCUCUCCCCGAUAUACUCCUCAUCCGGAGAAUGCGUUGACAACGUAUCAACCACCGCCAUAAACUUCGACGUUUGCAACAAACUCGGCAUCGAAGAAAAAUAAAAUUUCUCAGGAUCCGAGAUAAAACUUGCGUACUCCGGAUCCGACUCGUCAGGGAUUAACCGUCGCAUCAGCGGAGGUCGGUUUGGGACGUAACCUCCAUACGGAUACUGUCCGAAGUUGAGAGCGGCGUGUUGAGCGGAGGCGAGCCAGACUAGUGUGGUGAGGAUGGAGACUAGGUCGUCCACGGUGUCUAACUUUGGCCACCACUCGGCUUCGCGGAGAUCUGCAUGGCCUACGUUGAUUGACUCCGAGUACCACGAUUGGAGUUCCGAGUCUGUUUGAAUUGAGUUCGAGUUUGGAUAGUAACGUUCCACGUAAGUUCGGACCCAUGUUUGGAUUGCGGACCAUAUUAGAAGACCGUCGUUCGCAUAUGGAUAGUCUUCGAUCAGGAGUUUAAGUCCAUGUGGUUGUGUUGGGUCUGGAACUGCCAUUCCUCUAAAAAACAAAAUAAAACGAUCAAUAUUAGAUAUCAUACGUAUAAAAUUGUGUUUGACAUAAUCAAGAAUAGUAUAUGUCUAACAAAGUUUAGCUACAAUACCUGCGAAUGAGAUCGGCAGGGAGGCCUUCCAUGUCGAACCGCCAACUACUUUUGUAGGCUGCGGAGCUCAUUUCCAAACCGUAUUGGCCAGCAGUGAAGCCUCCUUCAAUCACACCGUCUGCACUGAUCAAUGAUUGUCUAGCCAGUGCAUUGAUCUCCAACGUAUACCUCAUGUGUGGAUCCAAUAGUUUGAAUAUCGGAUGCAUAGCGCUUAAUUGCCUAUGUGCAGCUAUUAUAAACGGUUCCAAGCAUGCAUGGGUUCGUAACCUUUAGAACAAAAAUUGAUAAAUAUAUCAAUAACUCUAUAUUCAUUAUUAACAACUUGUUACAUAAAUGAUUAGUAAGUUAACGUUUUGAGUACUAACCAGUGGUUAACAAGUUGGUGGACUCCAGCAUCGUUGGAGCUAACAUGUGCUUUAGCGAGCUGCCACACCCAGUUAGAGGUUGCAUCGACAGGAGGUGUAACAACUCGUUUGGAUCGGUGGUUCGGGCCAUGGGAAGGGAGGCUUAGCUCGAUGGCUACGGGCUUAAGUGUUCCAAGACGAGUCAAGAAGAAAAUGGUUCGAGUAGCAUAUGCUUUGCGUCCAUCGAGCGCAUUGAUUUGGUCU